rnacentral:rRNA from 1 species
GACGAACGCUGGCGGCGUGCUUAACACAUGCAAGUCGAGCGGAAAGGCCACUUCGGUGGUACUCGAGCGGCGAACGGGUGAGUAACACGUGAGUAAUCUGCCCUUGGCUUCGGGAUAGCCACCGGAAACGGUGAUUAAUACCGGAUAUGACCACUUCGUGCAUGCGAUGGUGGUGGAAAGUUUUUCGGCCAGGGAUGUGCUCGCGGCCUAUCAGCUUGAUGGUGAGGUAAUGGCUCACCAUGGCUUCGACGGGUAGCCGGCCUGAGAGGGUGACCGGUCACACUGGGACUGAGACACGGCCCAGACUCCUACGGGAGGCAGCAGUGGGGAAUAUUGGACAAUGGGCGGAAGCCUGAUCCAGCAACGCCGCGUGAGGGAUGACGGCCUUCGGGUUGUAAACCUCUUUCAGUACCGACGAAGCGCAAGUGACGGUAGGUACAGAAGAAGCACCGGCCAACUACGUGCCAGCAGCCGCGGUAAUACGUAGGGUGCGAGCGUUGUCCGGAAUUAUUGGGCGUAAAGGGCUCGUAGGCGGUUUGUCGCGUCGGGAGUGAAAACCAGGUGCUUAACACCUGGCUUGCUUUCGAUACGGGCAGACUAGAGGUAUUCAGGGGAGAACGGAAUUCCUGGUGUAGCGGUGAAAUGCGCAGAUAUCAGGAGGAACACCGGUGGCGAAGGCGGUUCUCUGGGAAUAUCCUGACGCUGAGGAGCGAAAGUGUGGGGAGCGAACAGGAUUAGAUACCCUAGUAGUCCACACCGUAAACGUUGGGCGCUAGGUGUGGGGUCCAUUCCACGGAUUCCGUGCCGCAGCUAACGCAUUAAGCGCCCCGCCUGGGGAGUACGGCCGCAAGGCUAAAACUCAAAGGAAUUGACGGGGGCCCGCACAAGCGGCGGAGCAUGCGGAUUAAUUCGAUGCAACGCGAAGAACCUUACCUGGGUUUGACAUACACCCUGCCGCUCCAGAGAUGGGGCUUCUUUUGGGGGUGUACAGGUGGUGCAUGGCUGUCGUCAGCUCGUGUCGUGAGAUGUUGGGUUAAGUCCCGCAACGAGCGCAACCCUCGUUCUAUGUUGCCAGCAUGCCCUUCGGGGUGAUGGGGACUCAUAGGAGACUGCCGGGGUCAACUCGGAGGAAGGUGGGGAUGACGUCAAGUCAUCAUGCCCCUUAUGUCCAGGGCUUCACGCAUGCUACAAUGGCCGGUACAAAGGGCUGCGAUCCCGUAAGGGGGAGCGAAUCCCAAAAAGCCGGUCUCAGUUCGGAUUGGGGUCUGCAACUCGACUCCAUGAAGUCGGAGUCGCUAGUAAUCGCAGAUCAGCAACGCUGCGGUGAAUACGUUCCCGGGCCU